AGGAUUCCCCUAGUAACGGCGAGUGAAGCGGGAAAAGCUCAAAUUUGAAAUCUGGCGGUCUACGGCCGUCCGAGUUGUAGUCUAGAGAGGUGUCUUCUGCGUCGGACCAUGCACAAGUCCCUUGGAACAGGGCGUCAUAGAGGGUGAGAAUCCCGUCCGUGGCAUGGACUCCCGGUGCUUUGUGAUGCGCCUUCGAAGAGUCGAGUUGUUUGGGAAUGCAGCUCAAAAUGGGUGGUAAAUUCCAUCUAAGGCUAAAUACAGGCGAGAGACCGAUAGCGAACAAGUACCGUGAGGGAAAGAUGAAAAGCACUUUGGAAAGAGAGUUAAACAGUACGUGAAAUUGUUGAAAGGGAAACGCUUGGAGUCAGUCGCGUUUGCCGGGACUCAGCCUUGCUUCUGCUUGGUGCACUUCCUGGUACACGGGCCAGCAUCGAUUUUGAUCGCCGGAAAAAGGCUUGGGGAAGGUGGCACCUUCGGGUGUGUUAUAGCCCCUUGUUGUAUACGGUGGUUGGGAUUGAGGACCGCAGCACGCCUNUUGGUCGGGGUUCGCCCACGCCACGUGCUUAGGAUGCUGGCGUAAUGGCUUUAAACGACCCGUCUUGAAACACGGACCAAGGAGUCUAACAUGCCUGCGAGUGUUUGGGUGUAAAACCCAGGCGCGUAAUGAAAGUGAAAGGUUGGGACUCUUCGCUGAGGCACCGACGCCCGAUCCUGACGUUCUCUGACGGAUUUGAGGUAGAGCAUGUAUGUUGGGACCCGAAAGAUGGUGAACUAUGCCUGAAUAGGGCGAAGCCAGAGGAAACUCUGGUGGAGGCUCGUAGCGAUUCUGACGUGCAAAUCGAUCGUCAAAUUUGGGUAUAGGGGCGAAAGACUAAUCGAACCAUCUAGUAGCUGGGUUCCUGC
rnacentral:rRNA from 1 species